GUGCUCAAUUCAGCAGCACAUACACUAAAACUGGAACAAUAAAGAGAAGAUUAGCAUGGGCUCUAUGCAAGGGUGACACACAAAUUCAGGAAGCAUAUCAUAUUUAA
ensembl:snRNA U6 U6 spliceosomal RNA